GUAGUCAUAUGCUUGUCUCAAAGAUUAAGCCAUGCAUGUCUAAGUACAGGCUUUGGUACAGCGAAACCGCGAAUGGCUCAUUAAAUCAGCUAUAAUUUAUUAGAUUGUUCUUUACUUGGAUAACUGUGGGAAUUCUAGAGCUAAUACAUGCACAAAAGCUCCGACCUUCGGGAAGGAGUGCAGUUAUUAGACCAAAACCAGCCGAGCUUCGGCUCGAACUGUUUGGUGACUCUGGAUAACGAUGAGCGGAUCGCAUGGCCUUGAGCCGGCGACGUAUCUUUCAAGUGUCUGACCUAUCAACUGACGAUGGUACGCGAUAUGCCUACCAUGGUGAUAACGGGUAACGGAGAAUAAGGGUUCGACUCCGGAGAGGGGGCCUGAGAAAUGGCUACCACAUCCAAGGAUGGCAGCAGGCGCGCAAAUUACCCACUCUCAGUACGAGGAGGUAGUGACGAAAAAUAACAAUGCGGGACUCAUCAGAGGCCUCGCAAUUGGAAUGAGCGCACUUUAAAUCGUUCAACGAGGAUCUAUUGGAGGGCAAGUCUGGUGCCAGCAGCCGCGGUAAUUCCAGCUCCAAUAGCGUAUAUUAAAGUUGUUGCAGUUAAAAAGCUCGUAGUUGGAUCUGGGGUUCGGGUCGGCGGUUUGCCGCUUCGGCGGCUACUGCCGUGCUCGACUCUUACUAGCCGGUGCGUCUUGCGGUGCUCUUCAUCGAGUGCCGUAGGAGCCUGGCAUGUUUACUUUGAAAAAAUUAGAGUGCUCAAAGCAGGCGAUUCCGCCUGAACAGUGUUGCAUGGAAUAAUGGAAUAGGACCUCGGUUCUAUUUUGUUGGUUCUCGGAACUUGAGGUAAUGAUUAAGAGGGACGGUCGGGGGCAUUCGUAUUUCGGUGUUAGAGGUGAAAUUCUUGGAUCGCUGAAAGACGGACAAAUGCGAAAGCAUCUGCCAAGAGCGUCUCCAUUAAUCAAGAACGAAAGUCAGAGGUUCGAAGACGAUCAGACACCGUCCUAGUUCUGACCAUAAACGAUGCCAACUAGCGAUCCGCAGUGGUUGCUAUAAACGGACUCUGCGAGCAGCUUCCGGGAAACCAAAGUGUUUGGGUUCCGGGGGAAGUAUGGUUGCAAAGCUGAAACUUAAAGGAAUUGACGGAAGGGCACCACCAGGAGUGGAGCCUGCGGCUUAAUUUGACCCAACACGGGGAAACUCACCCGGUCCGGACACUGUAAGGAUUGACAGAUCGAGAGCUCUUUCUUGAUUCGGUGGAUGGUGGUGCAUGGCCGUUCUUAGUUGGUGGAGUGAUUUGUCUGGUUAAUUCCGAUAACGAACGAGACUCUAGCCUGCUAACUAGUUGCGCCGUGUUCAUACGCGGCUGUAGACUUCUUAGAGGGACAGGUGGCGUUUAGUG
rnacentral:rRNA from 1 species